rnacentral:rRNA from 1 species
UACGUAGGGUGCGAGCGUUGUCCGGAAUUAUUGGGCGUAAAGAGUUCGUAGGCGGUGUGUCGCGUCGGCCGUGAAAACCUGGGGCUCAACUCUGGGCGUGCGGUCGAUACGGGCAUCACUUGAGUUCGGCAGGGGAGACUGGAAUUCCUGGUGUAGCGGUGAAAUGCGCAGAUAUCAGGAGGAACACCGGUGGCGAAGGCGGGUCUCUGGGCCGAUACUGACGCUGAGGAGCGAAAGCAUGGGUAGCGAACAGG